rfam:Myotis davidii contig137857, whole genome shotgun sequence.
GGUGGUUCUCAGGUGAGGCACCCGGAAUUGGGCUCCCUCCUCACUGGUUCCGGGUGCGUCACCUGACAACCGCA